rnacentral:rRNA from 1 species
UGCAGUCGGACGGUAGCACAGAGAGCUUGCUCUCGGGUGACGAGUGGCGGACGGGUGAGUAAUGUCUGGGGAUCUGCCCCAUAGAGGGGGAUAACCACUGGAAACGGUGGCUAAUACCGCAUAACGUCGCAAGACCAAAGAGGGGGACCUUCGGGCCUCUCACUAUCGGAUGAACCC